UAGAAAAAUCACAGUAACAUACGUGUUUAAUUUUCAUCUGAGGUUCUACGACUCAAAGACAAACAAAACUAAGACAUACAUUCCAUAUCUCAAAUAACACACCUGCAGGUUUCACCACCCACAGUCAUAACGAACAAACACUCGUUCUGUGAUUACAAAGCUACAGGUUUAUUUUCUCUACACACAAUGCUACUAUGAAUAAUUUGCUAUUUAAUGCAAUUUAUAUCAAAGAAAUCAUUUAUUCAAUUAACACUCCAGACACAAGGACAAAUACAUAAUAGGCAUUUAAUUGGCAUAUUUGUUUUAUUUCGUUUAAACAAAGCAAGUUCGAUGACUCGAUAUGAACUUAUUUACUGUAAAAAAAGAAAUGUAAAUUGUAUCUUAAAAUAAAAUCUACCUUUUAUACUAAAUAUGUUUUAAUUUAAGGAUAAUAUCACUUCUGUAUAACCUUCAUGGUCUCGUGGAAAUUUUAAGGUCUUUAAACAUCCUACGUACUAAUUACAAAAGCACGCGCCCUAAUUGGAUGUCUCUGAGUCUUGACUGCAACCAUUCAUACUAUUACCUGAUCAUUCAUACUUUACAAAACGCACAAUCACGAUUAUUUCUCUUCAACGUAUUGAACGUUAAAGCUAUUUUUAACAAUAAGCCUUUGAUUUUUUUUUCAGCCUUACGAAAAUAAAAUAUUUACAACAAAACACAAAAUGUAUACAUAUAAUUUUAUUAAUGUUAGAUUAAAUACAAACGUGUAAGGUACAACCGUGAACCGAAAACAAAACUUUAUUAUCUAUCUUAUUACAAAAAUUAUUUUACCAUUAAAAGCUUACGAUUUUCCUAAAAAAUAUAUGUUAGCUUAUCACGCCAACUAAAGAGUAUUUUUUUGAACCGUUCUUUUAUAAAAACAGAAAAACUUGUAAAAGUGAGGAAAAAUGUAUGGAUUGAUAUUAGCGAAUGCAUAGUUUAGUUUAGACUAUUGAGAAUCGGAUUGGAACUUACAAAGUGAAAAGAAAAGAUGACUAGUCUGCUAGACAUUUUACCGCUUUAUUAGAUUUGAAUAGAUAUCUGUAACAUAUAGACAAAAUAUAUGUACCUCCUACUGGUCCGUGUUCUAAACUUAAAAAAAACAGUCACGGUACCACCUUUUAGGUCCGGAUGUCAUAUGUCUUAGCCUGACGUUUCCAUUAUCAACGUUUUUGUAUAAGAAAAUAUACAAUCUAAUACAUAUAUAUAAAACAUAAUACUUUGUGCAGCUUCAUUUAACCGGAAGGUACUAUACCGUUCAAUGUACACAUCAAAACAAAGUAGUAGGAAAGGUCGUCUAUUAUACGCCCAUAAUUGUAUAAUCUUAAAAUAGAAUUAACAUUAUUCUCUCGCUAUUUAAGUUGUUAUUGCAAAUAGUGGUAUGACGUGUCAUUGGCGCCAGCCACUUCAACUUCUAAGUAGUCGGAAUAACACAAGUCUUGCUUCGAAAUUCCAGCUGAUAUUACUCAGUGUACGCGGAUAAAGCACGCUCAAAGUCGAAGAAUAUGUUCGUAUUCAAAAUGGCUAUAGAGUAGUUGAAUUUACACGUCUUGUGCGAUAUAUACUUUUCUUUACUUUUUUGUGUUUUAGCAGACAGUCAGAAUAUAUACUAUUAAGACAUUAUUGUAUUUAUCUGGAAUUUUUAAACAAAGAACCUAUAUGAUAAUGCCACUUUGUUUUAUAUAAGUAUCUUUAGAUAGCGACAUUUUACACUAGUUGUGAAAUGUGUUAUCUUAAUCUCUAUGGCUUAUCUAUUUGCGUAAAGCUUUAGUUAGUGAAUAUGUGAGUGCCUACAUAGAACAUUGCGUCAACUGGUUGCGGAAGGUAGACUAAAGACUUCUUGGGCAACAAGCAAUUGCCCAUUCAUUGGAGCUAAUAUAGCCUCGUGUAACUCGAAUUUCAUCACGAUUUUCCGUCUACGUGAUUAAUUUCUUGUGUAACAGUGUUAUGUAAUGCCGAUAGGUACACAUUUUCAACUUAGAUUUAUGUAUAACGUUUCAGUAGGUUUAAUUUUCUAAUUUGGAAUAAUGGCUAAUUAAAAGUGUGGUGUAAUUAAUGAUGAAGUUUACAUUAAAAACUAGAAUUAUUCAAUAAUUUGCAACUUUGUUGAACAUUAUUGAAUUAUGUUAGAUACCUACAUUUGGAAAUUUAAGCGAAGAUACACUCGAAUUAAAUAAAGUAUGGUGACGGUUUAACUGUGGCCAUGUUUAAAUAAAACUCUUUGUUUGAUGCUGAGUAACAACUCACUUUAAUGGUUUAAAAUAUGAGAUUGUAACUAACACAAAAUUAGGGGUAGAAGGGUUGCGAAAACAAAAACAAACUUGGCUCAUCUAAGAGUUAAUAAAUCUAAAUUAUACUUAUGACUUAACGAGAAUUAAUUGAAUCGUUCUUUGGAAUUCAAGAGAAAAAAUGAGAUAAUCAUUAAUAAAUAUUGUUAUAAUAACAUAAAUAAAAAGAGAUUAGAAGAAGAGAGAAGAGAUUUCUACAAGAGUUAAAAAAAACGUCAAAAAAUAUAACUGAAGUUGCUGAGGUAAUAGGUAUAUAUAUUUUAGAGUUUAACAACAGCAUGCCAACAACAUCUAGAUUAUUUUCUGAAUGUGAUGUUGACAACCUUCUUCUGUGAUAGAAUACCUACGUUACCAUACCUUCAUCUAGUAGUAUCUGUCAAUGGUAGGGAAUUGGUAGGUUAUAUCAUUCAAUUGGGUUAUAAACGCGCGUUUUUAAUGUAACAGAAUUGCGUAAGUCAUUAAAAAAAUCCUAGAAGUCAUACACAUUCUAGUAUAUAGAUUCUAAAGCAUGUCACAUGUGUUUGAUGACAUCAGCUGAGCUAUUGUCGGUGAAACAAUGUCCGAUAGGCGCACGCGCAGGCAUGGUCACGCGUUGAAUCACAUCAACAGGGAUAUUCCGAGCCCCAACUAUCGCUAUCCUACAUACUAAUAAUCUCAACAGUUUUCCUGUAGCCAUUUUGGUUUGGUAGCUGUGUAGAACUUAUAUAGUGUAGUAACAUACAUCUUGAAUUACGAACAUUACAUCUUUAAGAACUAGAAAUACUUGCAUAAAUAGCGGAUACAUUAUUAGUAUUUGUAAGUCAAAUGUGUGUUUUCUAAGCACUAGUGAGGUUGCUUUGUUCCCGUGAAUUGUAAUAUCCUUUUGCCUUGGAUUACAUUGGGAUUUCAAAAACCAAUUUAAUUAUCGGUUUUCACACCUUGUAGACAAUGGAUGGAUGAAUUCUUUACAUACGUCUUUGGCAAAAAUUGGAGGUCUUGCUCUCUGCAAAUGGGUAUAUUUUAGGCGUGGUAUCCACUUACCGUCUUUGCCUGCCUAUUUUCUUUAUAAUCGGGAUUGAAUAUUACCGAUUAUAGAAAACAAGAAAAAAUUGAUUGUUUGUGGGUUUUAUGUAAGACUAAAUUAUUAGUUGUAAGAGUUUUUGUCCGUAGUCACCACUAACAUAUGUUAGGCGCCUUCGAACCUUGGCCUGGUCGAGUAAAAACCUUCAGUCCUGUGUAUUUGUCUUUUGCUUAAAGUUCAUAAUUAGCAUGGCUUGUAGGCUUAACAUACGUAUACUCAUCCAGCCAUCGUAACUUUGGCCUGCCGGGGAUUCACCAAUCCAUGGAGCUUCCAUCUAACUGCCUCCGUGGUACCCAACCAACCCCCAUCCGGGGAACAUGUCCAUCUUAAUUUUUAAGUUACUUCGUUUGCCAUACAGGUUCUUAUGAUUGUAAAAAAAACCUGUAUGACUCUAAAUAUUCUUCAUAGAAUUUUCAAACACAAUCGAAUCUAAGAGAUUAUGGGAUAUAAAUUAUUUUUCAUAAUACCAGUAUUAUGAUAUAUAUCAUAUUAAAAUUUAUUAUUUGUGUACGAAACUCCCACAAAAAUAUGUUUUGUCAUACUUGUGUUAUCAGCCACAUGCCAUAUGAAUGUUCAGUGUUCAUGAUAUUGCAUUUAUCUGACCUACAGGGUACAAACUGAUAGCGGUUAAAUGGAAUAAAGGAAUUAUUAACCAACGGGCAACAUCCCUAUUUCAGAACAGCUGAAUAAAUAGUUCCAGUUUUAUAAAAAAACGUUAGCUCUAGCUUGUUUGGUAUUAAAUUAUUUACUAGCUAUAUAUUAUCGUAUUCUAGGAUAUUCGACAUUAUAUACCAUUUAGUUUUUUUUUAUCGUGGGGAAAUGCGUUACGCAUACCCUCCCGCGGCACGAUUGUCUGAAGGUGAAGGGUUAUGUGGGACUCGCCACUGUGCAUACCCACUAAAACCCCACGGCGCCACCAACAAUCGCCCGAGGCAGGCCACGGUAACAGCUUAGCCUUGCUUUUUUUGCCUUCCGCAUAUACCAUUUAGAUAGACCAAGACACAUAUUAUAUUAUUAUUAUAUUAUUCAUAUAUACAUUAAUUUUGUUUAUAUAUUAUCUGUCGGAUGUUAUUAUAGUGAUAAGAUAAUAAUGUGGAAAAAAAUAAAACAUACUUACACAAUAUCGCUACUCUAAACUUACUCUGCGAACAUAUAAAGAUGUCGAUAGUGGCGUCUUACAUUGACUAAGUUCUGGAAAUUUGGUGAGACGAGCUAGCCAAGGUGAUGUCAAAUCAAGCGAGAUCCUAUCAACUCUAGGGUGUAUAGAAAAAGCCAGCUUCAGCUAAUGAGCAAGGUGCUUGAGGCCGAUCUUGGGGCCAGUUGCAAUCAAAACUUGCCAUUCGGGCUGCCAAAGAGGCCUUUGUAGGAUGCCUAGCUCCUCCGCUAACAACUCCCAGAUCUCUCCAGGUACUUCCAGCUGCUACUACUUGCUCAUUAUGUUCCGCUCCACUUCUGAAAGUUACACAGCAUAUGAAAGAACUAUGAGAAAUGUUUAAGAAAUUUAUAUUUAAUAUAUACCAUUAUUAAGUUUAAAACCUUUUAUAUUUGUAGUCGUUGUUUGUGGUGAAUCAUGGGGGUUUUUAUAUUAUAAAAAAAAUGAAUGCAUUCCAAAACAGAAAUUAUAUAUGCUAAUGGUCCUGUUCAGAGGUUUGAGGCUUGGAAAUACAAUGCAUUUGAAUGUCAUACACAAGGCUUACUUACUUUACAUUCUUGCUUUAAAAUAUUGGUAAUAUUAUGAACAUAGUAAUGCCUCUUAUUGAAUUGUUAUGACAUUUCACAACAAUAGUAAACUAAAUAAAAGUAACUCUAAAGUAUAUUGACUAAUGUAAUAAACUACAAGUGUCAUACAUACAGAUGCUCAAAAUUUAAUCUUAUUAAAUGUUUUAAAAAUUGUAAAGUUCUAAACAAAACUGAUAUGGGAUCAUAAAAUUACAUUAAUGAAAUACAAGAGCCCUUGUUUUUGAUUAAUGUAAAAUAUACCUAUAUAAAUCUCAUAUAUAAGAUAUUAUUGAUAUCAUUUAGUAGACAAGAAAUAACUAACUCACUGAAACUUUAACCUACAUGAUAAACUAUAGACAUUGGAUUAACCUGGACCUUGAAAUAGUUAAUAUACAAUAUAAAUAAGAUAUUGCUUUGUUUGCUGACAUUCUGUUUAUGUUUGUAUGUCUGCUAAGUAAGAUAAUCGAAACAUCUGGAAUUACCAUAUUGAUUUUGUAAAUUCUUUCAUCAAUAGACUUUUAUUAGUAACAUAUAUCAUAUAUAAUAUCUAUGCUCUGUAUCCCACACACAGAGUACAUUCUUUCCAUCCUCAGGAAUUUGCUCAACUUAUAUAAUACACAUACAUUGUAUAUCAAAUAGUAUCUUUUCUAUUACUUACGUUUGCAGAGGUAUUGUGCCCUGUGGUUGAGGAGUAUCAACUCUGAACUCUGGUAUAUGCUGGAUUAACUACAGAAGGAACAUUUCCAGAUAGAUGGGGUGAUACAACAAACAAACAAUUGGGAUCCAUCAUACGGUG